CCUACGGGUGGCACCAGUGGGGAAUAUUGCCCAAUGGGCGCAAGCCUGAUGCAGCCAUGCCGCGUGUAUGAAGAAGGCCUUCGGGUUGUAAAGUACUUUCAGCGGGGAGGAAGGUGUUGUGGUUAAUAACCUCAUCGAUUGACGUUACCCGCAGAAGAAGCACCGGCUAACUCCGUGCCAGCAGCCGCGGUAAUACGGAGGGUGCAAGCGUUAAUCGGAAUUACUGGGCGUAAAGCGCACGCAGGCGGUCUGUCAAGUCGGAUGUGAAAUCCCCGGGCUCAACCUGGGAACUACAUUCGAAACUGGCAGGCUAGAGUCUUGUAGAGGGGGGUAGAAUUCCAGGUGUAGCGGUGGAAUGCGUAGAGAUCUGGAGGAAUACCGGUGGCGAAGGCGGCCCCCUGGACAAAGACUGACGCUCAGGUGCGAAAGCGUGGGGAGCAAACAGGAUUAGAUACCCGGGUAGUC
rnacentral:rRNA from 1 species